GACGGGGGGGGGCAAGUGUUCUUCGGAAUGACUGGGCGUAAAGAGCUCGUAGGCGGUUUGUCGCGUCGAAUGUGAAAACCCGGGGCUCAACCCCGGGCCUGCAUUCGAUACGGGCAGACUAGAGUUCGGUAGGGGAGUCUGGAAUUCCUGGUGUAGCGGUGAAAUGCGCAGAUAUCAGGAGGAACACCGGUGGCGAAGGCGGGACUCUGGGCCGAUACUGACGCUGAGGAGCGAAAGCGUGGGGAGCAAACAGG
rnacentral:rRNA from 1 species